rnacentral:rRNA from 1 species
GGGUAGUUUGACUGGGGCGGUCUCCUCCUAAAGAGUAACGGAGGAGCACGAAGGUUGGCUAAUCCUGGUCGGACAUCAGGAGGUUAGUGCAAUGGCAUAAGCCAGCUUGACUGCGAGCGUGACGGCGCGAGCAGGUGCGAAAGCAGGUCAUAGUGAUCCGGUGGUUCUGAAUGGAAGGGCCAUCGCUCAACGGAUAAAAGGUACUCCGGGGAUAACAGGCUGAUACCGCCCAAGAGUUCAUAUCGACGGCGGUGUUUGGCACCUCGAUGUCGGCUCAUCACAUCCUGGGGCUGAAGUAGGUCCCAAGGGUAUGGCUGUUCGCCAUUUAAAGUGGUACGCGAGCUGGGUUUAGAACGUCGUGAGACAGUUCGGUCCCUAUCUGCCGUGGGCGCUGGAGAACUGAGGGGGGCUGCUCCUAGUACGAGAGGACCGGAGUGGACGCAUCACUGGUGUUCGGGUUGUCAUGCCAAUGGCACUGCCCGGUAGCUAAAUGCGGAAGAGAUAAGUGCUGAAAGCAUCUAAGCACGAAACUUGCCCCGAGAUGAGUUCUCCCUGACUCCCUGAGAGUCCUGAAGGAACGUUGAAGACGACGACGUUGAUAGGCCGGGUGUGUAAGCGCAGCGAUGCGUUGAGCUAACCGGUACUAAUGAACCGUGAGG